rnacentral:lncRNA from 1 species
AGGUUGCGGUGAGCCGAGAUUGCACCAUUGCACUCCAGCCUAGGCAACAAGAGUGUAACUCCAUCUCAAAAAAAAAAAAAAAAAGAAAAGAAAAGAAAAAGAAAAGAUGGUUCAAUGGCAACAGGGAUCUUGGAAAUUAUAAUCUUCAGUAUGUUGGUAGUUUGAAUGUGCUCAAUAUGUUGCCCUGUACAUCUGCUGUGUAACUAUGGUCCUAGAAUGUCUUUUCAUGGUUCUGCUUGUAUUUGCUUUGCCCCUCUCCUGUCUAGAAUCUUCUUUUUACUGAUAUAUUUCCUGGUUCUUGACUAAGUUUUGUUUGUUUGUUUGUUUGAGAGCAUCUUGAGUCAAGAGUAGAUGGGAGGCAAAUUUGGGGAAGAGAUUUUUGAAAAUCUGAAAAUGUUUGUGAUCCAUCUAUAUCUCUAUCUAUCUAUCUAUCUAUCUAUCUAUCUAUCUAUCUAUAUGUGUGUGUGUGUGUGUAUAUAUAUAUAUUUAUAUUUUUUUUAAUUUUUAUUUUUUUGAGACAGGGUCUUGCUCUGUCAUCCAGGCUGUAAUGCAGCGGCACAAUCACAGCUCACUGCAGCCUCGACCUACCAGGCUCAAGCAAUCUUCCUGCCUCUUGCUCCUGAAUAGCUGAGACUACAGGCAUGCACCACCAUGCCCAGUUAAUUUUUAAGAUUAUUUUUUGUAGCGACAGGGUCUUACUAUGUUGCCCAGGCUAUUCUCAAACUCCUGGGCUCAAGCAAUCCUCCCACCUCAGCCUCCCAAAGUGCUGGGAUUAUAAGGCAAGAGCUACCACACCCAACUCUAAUCUAUCUUCAUACAUAAAUGAUAACUGACCUGGGUAUAAAAAUAAAAUUAUAUAUGAAAAUAAUUUUUUUUUUGAGACAGAGUCUUGCUCUGUUGCCCAUGUUGGAGUGUAGUGACGUGAUCUUGGCUCAGUGCAGCCUCCGCCUCCUGGGGUUUAAAUGAUUCUCCUGCCUCAGCCUCCCAAGUAGCUGGAACUAUGGGCAUGUGCCACCACACCCAGCUAAUUUUUGUAUUUUUAAUAGAGAUGGAGUUUUGAUAUGUCGGCUAGGCUGGUCUCAAACUCCUGAUUUCAGGUAAUGCAUCUGCCUUGGCCUCCCAAAGUGCUGGGAUUACAGGUGUGAGCCACCACACCUGGCCUGAAAAUAAUUUUCCUUCACAAUCUUAUAGUCUCUGUAGUCUUUUUGCUUCUAGAGUUUCUAAGAAGAAAUCCAAAACCAUGUAGAUUCCAGAUUUUACCCCCUCUCUUUUCAUAAUUUGUUUUUAUCCCCUGUCGCUAGAGGCUUGUAGAAUUUUCUCUGUUCCAAAUGUUCUGAAAAUUCACAGUGAUUUAUCUUGGUGUAAGUCUUUUAAUCUAUUGUGUCAGACACUCAAUGGGGCUUUCAAUUUGACAAUUUGUUAUUCAUCCUGAUAAGUUUUAUUGAAUUAUUUCAUUGCUGAUAUCUUCUUCUCAUUUUCCCUUUUUCUAGAUCUCCUAUUGUUUGGGUUUUGGUUCCACUGGAUAGAUCCUCUUAUUUUAUCCCCUUUUCUCUUUAAUUUUCUGUCUCUUUGUCUUUUUUCUCUACUUUUGGGGAAAUCCUAAAAUUUUAUUUUUCUAAUUUUUUAUGGAUUUCUUCAUUUUUACUAACAUUUAAAAAAUUUCUAAGAGCUAUUUUGUAUUCUCUGAAUGUUCCUUUUAAUAGAAGGGGAUCUUCUUAUUUCAUGAAUGUAAUGCCUUAUCUCUCUGAGAAUAUUAAUGAUAGUUUCCCCCCCAGGUUUUUCCCCUUGCAUAAUUUCUAAUUCUCUAAGUGGGGCUUUUUCUGUUUGCUUUGGUAUCUAUCUUGCCUCUCUGCUGUCUGUUUAUGCUUAAGUGUGGAGUACUAAAGAGGUGAUUGGAAGAUCUGACCAUGUGUGUGGGGCAUAGAGUGCUAUAGGAGUCAUUUUCAGUGGGCUGUUGGGGAGAGAAUUCCCCCAAUUAAGUAACUUUAAGUCCUUCCUCUUGAGCUGCUCAAACUCCAUAGAGAGAGAUAUUAUUCUGUAGGGUAAGGAUCUGGCCAUAGGGCUUUCGAUAGUCAAUGGGUAGAGGCAGAAAUGAUCUGGUGUUCUUUGCAUUCAGCAUUCAGUAUGCAUAUUGUCUCUCUUUAAAAAAAAAAAAAAAAAAAAAGCUUUUUAUUUCAAAUUUACAUAAAAGUUGCAAGAAAAGUCCUGAGAAUGCCCAUAUAUUCUUUAUCCGGAUUUACCAGUUUUUAGCAUUUUGCCACAUUUAAUAUUUUGCCCCCCAACACACACACAAAAAUUAGUAUUUUUUUUUUUCUGAACCAUUUGGGAGUAGAGAUUGCUACAUAAUGUCCAUUAACCUCUUCAUACUUCAAUGUAUAUUUCCUGAGAACAAAUAUAUUCUCAGAAACUGUUUCUUAAUCUUCUGGCUUUUGGAUAUGUUACCUAGACCCUCAAAUGUGCUUGGCUUCCGCCAAUCCAGAGACUUUCUGUUUUAUCUUCUCUAGAGGAUAAACCUAAUUUAUUGAUCAUAUGUAGAUGAGAAACAGUUGCCCAGUGGUGUACACCUGGAGAGGAAGAUCUAGAUAUUUCACCUUCAUACAUGGCUUUACCCAGUCCUCCUUAUUUUAGCCAUUCCCUUACUCCCAAAUUCCAGAGGUACCUAGUGCUGACGAUUUUCCUUUGUUUUCAAGAUUCUUCAAUGUAAUUUUAAUUACUUCUGAGCUUGGCCAAUUACUGUAUUUUCUUGAUACUAUGAUGCACUUUGGGAGGAUUUGUAAAUUCAUCGUGGUGGUCUUUUUUUCAUUUUCUUCUUUUUCUUUCUUCCCCACUCCCCCUUUCCUUCCUUUUUCAAAAAGCUGAAAGCGUUAAAUAAAUGAUGAAUCUUAAAAUUGUUAGGUUCUUUAAAUCUGAUUUCCAAUUGUCAGUAACUUCCCUCAAAGAAUGUUAUGUCAUAACAAAAUGACGGGUGAAUCCUAUUCCCUACUUUAAAGAGAGAGAAAAAAAAAAGAAUGUUUAAGUGUAUAGCCAAUGAUCCACAAGGCUAGCAACUGAUCCAUGAUUAAUAGCUCAAGGUCAUAAAAGUAGUCAGGUAUAAAAGCCCAGAAAAACAUGAUUGUCAGCCACACACUUUGACAAAUCAUCUUCAUCCAUGACUCUAGAAAGUUGUUUAUUAUAAUUAUUUUUUGAGAUAGAUUCUCAGUCUGUCGCCCAGGCUAGAGUGCGGUGGCGCCAUCUCGGCUCACUGCAACCUCCGCCUCCCGGUUCAAGCAAUUCUGCUGCCUCAGCCUCCUGAGUAGCUGGGAUUACAGGCACCCACCACCACACCCAGUUAAUUUUUGUAUUUUUAGUAGAGACACAGUUUCACCAUCUUGGCCAGGCUGGUCUCGAACUCCUGACCUCGUGAUCCACCUGCCUCGGCCUCCCAAAGUGCUGGGAUUACAGGUGUGAGCCACCGCACCCGGCCUAGAAAGUUUUUUUAAAAGGCAGACUCAAGCAUGCACUUUUAAAUUUAAUAUAAUUUAACUUGCAGGAAAAAUCCUAGAAAUGUAGAGAAUUUAACAAACAUCUAUUGACCCUCCAUCCAGAAUUAAUAUUUAUUUUUUAAAUUUAAUAGGCAGAUUUUAACAAGUUAUCUUUAAUAGGGAAAAUUCAUCAAAAACAUAACAUUG